GACGAACGCUGGCGGCGUGCUUAACACAUGCAAGUCGAACGGAAAGGCCCUGCUUUUGUGGGGUGCUCGAGUGGCGAACGGGUGAGUAACACGUGAGUAACCUGCCCUUGACUUUGGGAUAACUUCAGGAAACUGGGGCUAAUACCGGAUAGGAGCUCCUGCUGCAUGGUGGGGGUUGGAAAGUUUCGGCGGUUGGGGAUGGACUCGCGGCUUAUCAGCUUGUUGGUGGGGUAGUGGCUUACCAAGGCUUUGACGGGUAGCCGGCCUGAGAGGGUGACCGGACACAUUGGGACUGAGAUACGGCGCAGACUCCUACGGGAGGCAGCAGGGGGGAAUAUUGCACAAUGGGCGGAAGCGUGAUGAAGAAACGCCGCGUGCGGGAUGAAGGACUUCGGGUUGUAAACCGCUUUGGCCUGUGACGAAGGGUGAGUGACGGUAAUGGGUAAAGAAGCACCGGCUAACUACGUG
rnacentral:rRNA from 1 species